AAUAGAUACCCAGGUAGUCCACGCCGUAAACGAUGAGUGCUAAGUGUUAGGGGGUUUCCGCCCCUUAGUGCUGCAGCUAACGCAUUAAGCACUCCGCCUGGGGAGUACGGUCGCAAGACUGAAACUCAAAGGAAUUGACGGGGGCCUGCACAAGCGGUGGAGCAUGUGGUUUAAUUCGAAGCAACGCGAAGAACCUUACCAGGUCUUGACAUCCCAUUGGCCACUAUGGAGACAUAGUUUUCCCUUCGGGGACAACGGUGACAGGUGGUGCAUGGUUGUCGUCAGCUCGUGUCGUGAGAUGUUGGGUUAAGUCCCGCAACGAGCGCAACCCUUGUUCUUAGUUGCCAUCAUUUAGUUGGGUACUCUAAGGAGACUGCCGGUGACAAACCGGAGGAAGGUGGGGAUGACGUCAAAUCAUCAUGCCCCUUAUGACCUGGGCUACACACGUGCUACAAUGGACGGUACAAACGGUUGCCAACCCGCGAGGGGAGCUAAUCCGAUAAAACCGUUCUCAGUUCGGAUUGUAGGCUGCAACUCGCCUACA
rnacentral:rRNA from 1 species